AUGAGUAUUGUUGUAAAAAUUUUGAUCAAUAGGUAUUUUUUAAACCCUACGUGCGUCUUGCUAUCGGAGAUUUAUUCAAUUCGUGGCGAUCUUCUAUUAUCCAAGACACCAACCGGUUCCUUAAGGUCCGUAAACUAACCCCUUUUCGUGCUUAUUGAUUAUAAUGCUGCUAGUGUUAGAUCCUUCGUCCUUGGGAGGAGUAUCAGUGUAAUGUUUUUGAACACUGUGAUUGAUAAUUAAGAUGUGGAAUUAGUGAUUAGUUAUGAACCUAGUGCCACAAAUCAACUAUCUUACUUGAUUAUGGAUAGUUAUUUCCAUCUACAGUGGUUGGUUUAAUGCAGAUUAUUAGAUCACAGUGAUCCAUUUAAUUGUAUUUUAAACGUGAUGAUAAGAUAGCUUGCCUGUUAAUAUAAGCUUUGAAUUUGAGAUUGAGACUGUCUCUGGCCUUCUAAUAUAGCAUAUGGAAUCUUUGAUUGAUGACAAUGAAACUUGAUCAUGGUAAUCUUUUUACUGUAAUAAUGGUCCCAGGGUUGCUCUCUAUAUCGUCGUUCCUCUGCUUUACCUUGUCAAGCAUUCAAGCUUGGUUGAGUUUCACAACGUUGGAUGUUAUAGCUAUGUAUAUUCACGGAUAAAAAGUUUUUUUUUUUUUGCAGAUAUUGUAGUUUGAUUUGUUGUUUCAACCUUCAAAUGAUCUUCUCGAGAAUAUUUGAGAUACUCUUUCAAUCCCACAUGCUUAAUUGGACAUUGUUUGUUCUGUUUUUAGGGACUAUGCAUCACCUUGGAUCAAUGUACAGAGCUGGCAAAAUACUUUAAACAUGUGCUUCGCCUUACUUAACUACCCUGGACGCGUUCCUUGAAAGUGAGGUAUUUAGCCAUGGAACUUCCAACCUUAAAUAGCUUGAUUUUCGCUAGACUUAGUUGAUCAGACGAAUGCACAUCUUAUUCUAUCAUUUUAUAUUCCUUGCUUGAUGUUGUGUCAGCUAGCUGAACUCAUACCAUCAUCCUGUACUUGGGAGUCGCUUUCAAAACACUAAGAAUGAAACACAUAGAGUUUGGUAUCACGCUAUUCGUAAUAUACCACAAACGGAAAGAAGAUAUCGUUUUUGAGCGUACGCGUGUUGCUUACAUUUGGAGGACUUGCCAACUGGUGAAAAACUCAUAAUUAUAGGGAUUAACUUGGUACGUUCUUUAAAAGAUCUUAAGGAAUGCUGAUAGACAUGCGUUCAAGUUCUGUUCCUAUUUGGUCUUGCGUGCAGGUUGACGGCUGAUUCAGUGCCGGUCCGGACCGGAUUGGCACCUAAAGCGCAUUAAAAAAAUUUGCCCCAUUAUAAUUUUCUUUUAUUUAUUGUGUUUGAGAUAUAUUCAAACAUCAUUACUUUUUUAUGAGCUUUACUUUUAAAAAUGUAACUAAGUUGGAAUUACUAUUAAUGUAUGAUUAAAACUCCUAUAUUUGAAUAACAAUCAUCCAUUCAACUUGUGAAAUUGUAUUUAAUUUUUCGGAAAAAAAACAGUAAGUAGAAUCUAGUUUAUAAUAAAAUUGUGUUUGUUUAGAUUUUUAAAAAAAUUAUCGUCUAAUAUUCCUAAAUCAAAUUAUAUCAAUCACAAAAAAGUACAAGAAAAAAAAUUACAGAAGAUAAAACUUACAUGAUGGAACAACAAUCCAUCAAAAUAGAUGAGGACAUAAAUAUCAGAAGGAAAUAGCGCAAGAGUAUAGAAAGAAACACAUAUUAUUAGGUUAGAGUACAAUAGUUUUUUUUUCUGAAAAAGGGCUUUACAAUACUUUAGUAUUUAAUUUAUAGUUAUAAAUUUAUACUCAUAUUUAGUACAAAGAAACUCAAGUAGUGUAAAAACAAACGUACUAAGAUUUUAUGAAUAAAACGAGAAAAAUUUACACUUAGACAUACUUUAUCUCUACUCUAUAUCACUUUAGCAUACUUUUCCCAUGUCAAGUACUUUUGUACGUGCUAUUGUCUAAAUUACCCCUGAAAUUAAUUAUCUUUCUAUUUCCCUUACUUUUAUCGUGAUCCAACUCUUUGUGAAGCUUUACCUUUCUCUUUUUUUCCUUUUAUUCUUCAAUACAAAUUUUUAUUUUACGAGAAAAGAAUCCAAAAAAUAAAAAAAUAUUUAAAGAGGCGAUUCAGUUGGAAGUGAUGAUGACAAAGUUUUCUUCGACGGUGGAAGCGUUAGAUUUCAAGGAAGCUUAACGUUCAUAGGUGAAGUUCGCUCGCUCUCACCGCGUCGUUGAGUCAGAUCUGAGUCACCUUCUAUUCUUCACUUUUUUCUUGCUCGUAGAUAUCGAGAUGAAAGAUAAUGAAACCAAAGGUUAAGCGAAGAAUAGUGAUGCCAUAUACCUUUUAAUCAUAAAUAUGGUGGAUUUAUGA